CUUACUGUUGAUAUACUUGUAAAAGAGUUUCUUGUUCCCUUUCACCCCAGCAGCCAGGUUGAGUUGAAUGGUUGAGAUGGGCACCAGGGAAAAGGAGGAUGAGAUAGGUAUGUGAACUGGGGUUUCCAGUGGAGAGGAACAAGAUGAGCUGAAGAGGUGAUUCAAGAUAGCUGGCGUGGCUUUGUUAAGGGCAGAUUGUACCUGACCAAUCUGGUGGCUUUCUGUGGUGGAGUAAUGGCAUCGGUGGACAGGGGAAGGGCAACGCGUGUCAUCUAUCUGGAGUUCCGCAAAGCCUUUGACGUGGUCCCUCACCACAUCGUUCUCUCUAAACUGGGGAGGUGUGGAUUUGAAGGAUGGACUGUUCAGUGGAUUAGGAACUGGCUGAUUGGACGCAGCCAAAGGGUUGUGAUGAAUGGUUCUGUGUCAGGGUGGAGGCUGUGUAUGGAAGUGUGACUGCUACCUUUCUUGGGUGAUGUGAAACUGAUAGAAGGCAGCUGUAUCUACUGUCUCCUAUUCUUAAAAACAGUUACUGGGAUUUUUCAUUGUUCUUGCUGACUGUUCUGUUGAACGUAAAUAAGAUGGAGGUCACUUUCUUUUUUUUUUUUUUUUUUUUUGGCUGUAGCUUCUAAAAAAAUGGGUUUUUUUUGAUUAAAAAAUACUCUAGAACUAAUUUGUCGUGUUCUGUGGAAUGCUUUUUUUUCCCUUGAUACUGUAUAUAUUGUUGCCUGUUGACCAAAAUGUGAAAAACAUGCCCACUUGGUACAGGCAAUAAGGGAGGUGAAGUACUGGAGAGGGAAUAAAUGAAAAAUCUAAUGAAUGAGAGAAUGUAAAUGUGUUACGUCCUUAAUACAUAAAUAAGGUGGUUAUGUUCCUAAGGCCUUUAGAUCUUAAGAAGUAUUGAUUUAACUUCCUGUUUAGUGUUAUGCAAAGGUCAUAUUCAUAUUUCCUUUGUCUAGAAGAUACUCUACUUUGCUUGAUAGUAUUUGAUGAAUACAGCACUUAACAUUCAUUAUGUGGUGAAGAUAAGAAAGUUGAAAACAGCUCAGAGGACUGCAGAAUGAUUGCCUUAUAAUGCCCACAGCUACGUCACCGGAAUAAAAUGGGUGGUGAUGUUCAGCUAUUGCCCCUGAUCAUCAGAAAAGAAUGGUGCCAUUGGAAAUAUCUGCACCAGAAAAAACUCUUAUCAAAUUAAGGGACUACUUUGAAGAAAAAAUCAUCAACAACAACAAGACAAGAAUGUAUAUCAGGGAAAAAAAAGCAAACAUGUUAAACUGUGUGUCAGUGGAUUUGCUAAUGUGGGUGCUCAGCUUACAGGUGAGAGAUGAUAGUACAAAAAUGGGUAGUACAAUUUUGUCUGUCUGCUUUACCUAUGGUGAUGAUGGUGUGCACGAAUGUGAGCUUUUCAGCUGCAUUUAGAAACCUGGAGGACUUCCUAUUAGGUCUGCUCUGUUAGUGCCUCCUUCUUUAGUGUGUUGGACUGUAAUGUUGGAAGUGGAUGUUGGUGGUAGAUUUUGAACCUUCCUGUCAGUGCCCCAUGACUUCUGUUGCUGUCUGCAGUCUGACAGAAUGGUGCCUGAUAUGGGAGCGUGGAUGAGGCACAGGUGUGUCACUGAAUUACUUGGUGCUGGAAAAAAAGGGCACCCACUGGCGUUCAGCAGUUCUUGCUGAACUUUUAGGGAGGCAAAAGUGUGAAUGUGAGCACAGUGUGGUGGUGAAUGGUGUGUUUCAGAGGAAAAUGAUGAGUAUAGAGCAAGACAAGGUUUUCUCUUACAAUGUAUGAUGAAGCCUAUGUAUUUGUUGCACAUGCUUAGAUUGGAAGUGAUGAUAUUAGGUGUGCUUUUGUAAAUUUUGCCAAAAUAGUUUUGACUCGUAUCAGGAACCUCUUAUGUUGUACCGGAAGUACGAGUAAUAAUGCUUACAGUAAUGACUAUGAUGUAGGGAACUGUAACAUUCUCCAAGUAGUUGAAGAAUAUAAGCAUCAAGAUAAUCUUGGUAUGGUGAUAUAACCACAGUAGUAAAAGGUACUAAUAUAGUAAUUACUAGAAAUGAUGGGGAAAACAGGCAGAAUAG
ensembl:lncRNA